rnacentral:rRNA from 1 species
UACGUAGGGUGCGAGCGUUAAUCGGAAUUACUGGGCGUAAAGCGUGCGUAGGCGGUUCGUUAAGUUCGUUGUGAAAGCCCCGGGCUCAACCUGGGAACUGCAAUGGAAACUGGCGGGCUUGAGUGUGGCAGAGGGGGGUGGAAUUCCCGGUGUAGUGGUGAUAUGCGUAGAUAUCGGGAGGAACACCUGUGGCGAAGGCGGCUUUCUGGGCCUUACCUGACGCUGAGACGCGAAAGCGUGGGGAGCGAACCGG